rnacentral:piRNA from 1 species
UGUGGUUUCUUAGUGUAUGGCUGACAUCCA